GACAGAGGUGCCGAGCGUUAGGCGGAAUCACUGGGCUUAAAGCGUGUGUAGGCGGGCGAUCAAGUACCUUGUGAAAUCCCACGGCUCAACCGUGGAACCGCUGGGUAUACUGGUUGUCUUGAGCCGGCUAGGGGCGAGCGGAACAGACGGUGGAGCGGUGAAAUGCGUAGAUAUCAGGAAGAACACCCGUGGCGAAGGCGGCUCUCUGGGACGGUACUGACGCUGAGACGCGAAAGCGUGGGGAGCGAACAGG
rnacentral:rRNA from 1 species